rnacentral:rRNA from 1 species
GAUGAACGCUGGCGGCGUGCCUAAUACAUGCAAGUCGAGCGAACAGAUGAGGAGCUUGCUCCUCUGACGUUAGCGGCGGACGGGUGAGUAACACGUGGAUAACCUACCUAUAAGACUGGGAUAACUUCGGGAAACCGGAGCUAAUACCGGAUAAUAUAUUGAACCGCAUGGUUCAAUAGUGAAAGACGGUUUUGCUGUCACUUAUAGAUGGAUCCGCGCCGCAUUAGCUAGUUGGUAAGGUAACGGCUUACCAAGGCAACGAUGCGUAGCCGACCUGAGAGGGUGAUCGGCCACACUAGAACUGAGACACGGUCCAGACUCCUACGGGAGGCAGCAGUAGGGAAUCUUCCGCAAAGGGCGAAAGCUUGACGGAGCAACGCCGCGUGAGUGAUGAAGGUCUUCGGAUCGUAAAACUCUGUUAUUAGGGAAGAACAAAUGUGUAAGUAACUAUGCACGUCUUGACGGUACCUAAUCAGAAAGCCACGGCUAACUACGUG